ensembl:misc_RNA 7SK 7SK RNA
GAGCCAGUCAGCUGUGGCAUCUCUCACCCUAUUGAUCGUCAAGUUGGAUUUAGCUGAUCAGGCUGACUGGGUGGGAAUCUCCUUUCUUCUGUCCUCAACUGACCCACCUGUAUCCCUCCUAAAGUUUCAGUGUCAGAAGAAGUUGACCGUGACUUAUAGAGGACCAGUCUUUGGUCAAAGAUGUGUGAGUCUACGCUCACAUGGUAUGCCUCAAAACAAAGCAGUUUUUAUCCUUUCUCUAGCAGUUGGGAACUCAGGGAAGUAGUCAUUUUCCAUAGUAUGACGAAACAGGACUUGGCAAUCUCUUU